AUGGAACCAAACUCAAGAGAGACACUGAUUUACAUCCAGCCUUUUUAACACAGUCUCAGGAUUCAGCAGUCCUAUAGCAGAGCCCUGUCUUGAAUGAUAUCAGUAUUCACUAAUUACCAGAACUCACCUGGUUCCUCGACACUGCUCCGUUUGGACUUGCCUACUCACUAAUCACCUACCUGCCUGCCCUCCUGGACUGGGGAGCAUAAUCCGUUGGUUUUCCUUGGCUCAGAAACCCCUCAAACCCCUCUUGAUACCUCCUCCUGAGAAUGUCAGCUCACAAUGCUUUCCCUCCCUGUGACCCUGGACUCUUGUUCUGACCUCUCCCAUAUUAGCUGGUUUCUCAUAGUCAGUUGUUUCAAUAAAGUGUUUGCAUCAACUAGAGUUGCCUAGUUUGA
ensembl:lncRNA